rnacentral:rRNA from 1 species
GUCUCUGGCCAUACCACCCUGAGCAUGCCUGACCCCAUCUGAUCUCAGAAGCAGGAUCAGGCCUGGUUAGAACUUGGAUGGGAGAAGAAUGCACAGAUUACUAGAUAGGCACAAAUU